AUACGUAGGGGGCGAGCGUUGUCCGGAAUGAUUGGGCGUAAAGGGCGCGUAGGCGGCGCGGUAAGUCUGGAGUGAAAGUCCUGCUUUCAAGGUGGGAAUUGCUUUGGAUACUGCCGCGCUUGAGUGCAGGAGAGGUUAUCGGAAUUCCCGGUGUAGCGGUGAAAUGCGUAGAGAUCGGGAGGAACACCAGUGGCGAAGGCGGGUAACUGGACUGCAACUGACGCUGAGGCGCCAAAGUGUGGGGAGCAAACAGGAUUAGAUACCCUGGUAGUCCACACUGUAAACGAUGAAUGCUAGGUGUAAGAGGUAUCGACCCCUUUUGUGCCGGAGUUAACACAAUAAGCAUUCCGCCUGGGGAGUACGGCCGCAAGGUUGAAACUCAAAUGAAUUGGCGGGG
rnacentral:rRNA from 1 species